rnacentral:lncRNA from 1 species
UCCUGGAACAGUGUGAAAUCGAUGAUGAAAAGCUGAUGGGGAAAACCACCCGGGUCCGAGGACCGAAGCCCCUGUACUGCAUGCCAGAGUGUGCGGAAGUCAUGAAGAUGCAGAAGUAUUACGGCAGCAGUGACAGCAGCUACGAUAGCAGCGGCAGCAGCAGCAACUCUGAUCUGGACGAGAGCGAUAAAGAACUGUGUCAGAAGAGACUAGACCAAGUCCCAUAUAGCUUUAAGCACAGCAAGCUAUUCCAGCAAUCCAGUAAGUCAAUCUCUCCUACGUUGGUUGAGGAAGAACUCUAGACUCGAAACUCUUGAACUCAAUAAAAAGUCCUUGGGCCAAAA